CUAGUACUCCCUCCGUCCCAAAAUUCUUGUCUUAGAUUUAUCUAAAUACGGAUGUAUCAAGUCACGCUUUAGUAUUAGAUACAUCAAUAUCUAGAAAAAUCUAAGACAAGAAUUUUAGGACGGAGGGAGUACAAA
rnacentral:pre_miRNA from 1 species